UGGGGAAUAUUGGACAAUGGGGGCAACCCUGAUCCAGCCAUGCCGCGUGUGUGAAGAAGGCCUUCGGGUUGUAAAGCACUUUUGUUGGGGAAGAAAAGCACUGGGCUAAUACCUUGGUGUCAUGACGGUACCCAAAGAAUAAGCACCGGCUAACUUCGUGCCAGCAGCCGCGGUAAUACGAAGGGUGCAAGCGUUACUCGGAAUUACUGGGCGUAAAGCGUGCGUAGGCGGUUUGUUAAGUCUGUCGUGAAAGCCCCGGGCUCAACCUGGGAAUGGCGAUGGAUACUGGCGAGCUAGAGUACGGUAGAGGAGAGUGGAAUUCCCGGUGUAGCAGUGAAAUGCGUAGAGAUCGGGAGGAACAUCAGUUGCGAAGGCGGCUCUCUGGACCAGUACUGACGCUGAGGCACGAAAGCGUGGGGAGCAAACAGG
rnacentral:rRNA from 1 species